GAUGGGCGUGCGUCUGAUUAGGUAGUUGGUGAGGUAACGGCUCACCAAGCCGACGAUCAGUAACUGGCGUGAGAGCGCGACCAGUCACACGGGCACUGAGACACGGGCCCGACUCCUACGGGAGGCAGCAGUAAGGAAUAUUGGUCAAUGGACGCAAGUCUGAACCAGCCAUGCCGCGUGGAGGAUGAAGGCCCUCUGGGUUGUAAACUUCUUUUAUUUGGGACGAAACACUUUCUUUCUAGAGAGCUUGACGGUACCAGAUGAAUAAGCACCGGCUAACUCCGUGCCAGCAGCCGCGGUAAUACGGAGGGUGCAAGCGUUAUCCGGAUUCACUGGGUUUAAAGGGUGCGUAGGCGGAUAUGUAAGUCCGUGGUGAAAUCUCCGAGCUUAACUCGGAAACUGCCAUGGAUACUAUAUAUCUUGAAUGUUGUGGAGGUUAGCGGAAUAGUUCAUGUAGCGGUGAAAUGCUUAGAUAUGACCUAGAACACCGAUUGCGAAGGCAGCUGGCUACACAACGAUUGACGCUGAGGCACGAAAGCGUGGGGAUCAAACAGGAUUAGAUACCCUGGUAGUCCACGCCCUAAACGAUGAUUACUCGACA
rnacentral:rRNA from 1 species